rnacentral:rRNA from 1 species
UACGAAGGUGGCAAGCGUUGUUCGGAUUUACUGGGCGUAAAGGGAGCGUAGGUGGUUCGUUAAGUCGGAUGUGAAAGCCCUCGGCUUAACCGAGGAAGUGCAUUCGAAACUGACGGUCUUGAGUAUGGAAGAGGGUCGCGGAAUUCCCGGUGUAGAGGUGAAAUUCGUAGAUAUCGGGAGGAACACCAGUGGCGAAGGCGGCGACCUGGGCCAAUACUGACGCUGAGGUGCGAAAGCGUGGGGAGCAAACAGG